GAGAGGACAAAGGAGAGGAGGAUGAGAGAACACAUUGCGUCGUCGGCUUUUUCUUUUCUUUUUCCACAACAAAAAGUUUUUUUUUUUUUUUUUCAGCCUCGUUCAGAGAGAAAGAAGAAAGAACGGGAAAGUGAAAGCAUGACGAAGGACUGAGACGAUG
rnacentral:ribozyme from 14 species